CAACGACUCUCGGCAAUGGAUAUCUCGGCUCUCGCAUCGAUGAAGAACGUAGCGAAAUGCGAUACUUGGUGUGAAUUGCAGAAUCCCGUGAACCAUCGAGUCUUUGAACGCAAGUUGCGCCCGAAGCCGUCAGGCCGAGGGCACGUCUGCCUGGGCGUCACGC
rnacentral:rRNA from 1 species